GCCGCUGUGGCGGAAUUGGUAGACGCGCUGGAUUCAAAAUCCUGUGACUGUGAGGUCGUGAGGGUUCGAUUCCCUCCGGCGGUA
rnacentral:tRNA from 2 species